UCUCCGUUGGUGAACCAGCGGAGGGAUCAUUACCGAGUUUACAACUCACAAACCCAAUGUGAACCAUACCAAACUGUUGCCUCGGCGGGGUCACGCCCCGGGUGCGUCGCAGCCCCGGAACCAGGCGCCCGCCGGAGGGACCAACCAAACUCUUUCUGUAGUCCCCUCGCGGACGUUAUUUUUACAGCUCUGAGCAAAAAUUCAAAAUGAAUCAAAACUUUCAACAACGGAUCUCUUGGUUCUG
rnacentral:misc_RNA from 1 species